AUUGAACGCUGGCGGUAUGCCUUACACAUGCAAGUCGAACGGCAGCACAGGGAGCUUGCUCCUGGGUGGCGAGUGGCGAACGGGUGAGUAAUGUAUCGGAACGUGCCCAGUAGUGGGGGAUAACUACUCGAAAGAGUGGCUAAUACCGCAUGAGAUCUCUGGAUGAAAGUGGGGGACCGCAAGGCCUCACGCUACUGGAGCGGCCGAUAUCAGAUUAGGGUGUUGGUGGGGUAAAGGCCUACCAAGCCUGCGAUCUGUAGCGGGUCUGAGAGGACGACCAGCCACACUGGGACUGAGACACGGCCCACACUCCUACGGGAGGCAGCAGUGGGGAAUUUUGGACAAUGGGCGCAAGCCUGAUCCAGCAAUGCCGCGUGCAGGAUGAAGGCCUUCGGGUUGUAAAGCUCUUUCGGCCGGGAAGAAAUCGCACGGGCUAAUACCCUGUGUGGAUGACGGUACCGGAAUAAGAAGCACCGGCUAACUACGUGCCAGCAGCCGCCGUAAGAC
rnacentral:rRNA from 1 species